GGCCUAACACAUGCAAGUCGAACGCCCCGCAAGGGGAGUGGCAGACGGGUGAGUAACACGUGGGAACAUACCCUUCGGUUCGGAACAACGUUUGGAAACGAACGCUAAUACCGGAUACGGCCUAUGGGCGAAAGAUUGAUCGCCGAAGGAUUGGCCCGCGUUCGAUUAGCUUGAUGGUGAGGUAACGGCUCACCAUGGCGACGAUCGAUAGCUGGUCUGAGAGGAUGGCCAGCCACAUUGGGACUGAGACACGGCCCAAACUCCUACGGGAGGCAGCAGUGGGGAAUAUUGGACAAUGGGCGCAAGCCUGAUCCAGCCAUGCCGCGUGAGUGAUGACGGCCUUAGGGUUGUAAAGCUCUUUCGCACGCGACGAUAAUGACGGUAGCGUGAGAAGAAGCCCCGGCUAACUUCGUGCCAGCAGCCGCGGUAAUACGAAGGGGGCUAGCGUUGUUCGGAAUCACUGGGCGUAAAGGGUGCGUAGGCGGAUUCUUAAGUCAGGGGUGAAAUCCUGAGGCUCAACCUCGGAACUGCCUUUGAUACUGGGGAUCUUGAGUCCGGAAGAGGUGAGUGGAACUGCGAGUGUAGAGGUGAAAUUCGUAGAUAUUCGCAAGAACACCGGUGGCGAAGGCGGCUCACUGGUCCGGAACUGACGCUGAGGCACGACAGCGUGGGGAGCAAACAGGAUUAGAUACCCUGGUAGUCCACGCCGUAGACGAUGAAUGCCAGCCGUUGGGUGAUUUAUCACUGAGUGGCGCAGCUAACGCUUUGAGCAUUCCGCCUGGGGAGUACGGUCGCAAGAUUAAAACUCAAAGGAAUUGACGGGGGCCCGC
rnacentral:rRNA from 2 species